UACAGAGGUCUCAAGCGUUGUUCGGAUUCAUUGGGCGUAAAGGGUGCGUAGGCGGCGCGGUAAGUCGGGUGUGAAAUCUCGGAGCUUAACUCCGAAACUGCAUUCGAUACUGCCGUGCUUGAGGACUGGAGAGGAGACUGGAAUUUACGGUGUAGCGGUGAAAUGCGUAGAUAUCGUAAGGAAGACCAGUGGCGAAGGCGGGUCUCUGGACAGUUCCUGACGCUGAGGCACGAAGGUCAGUGGAGCAAACGGG
rnacentral:rRNA from 1 species